rnacentral:rRNA from 1 species
AUACGGAGGGUGCAAGCGUUAAUCGGAAUUACUGGGCGUAAAGAGUACGUAGGCGGUUUGUUAAGUUAGAUGUGAAAGCCCCGGGCUUAACGUGGGAACUGCAUUUGAAACUGGGUAACUAGAGUUUAGUAGAGGGGAGUGGAAUUUCAGGUGUAGCGGUGAAAUGCGUAGAGAUCUGAAGGAACACCAGUGGCGAAGGCGACUCCCUGGACUAAAACUGACGCUGAGGUACGAAAGCGUGGGUAGCAAACCGGAUUAGAAACCCCAGUAGUCC